UACGAAGGGGGCUAGCGUUGUUCGGAAUCACUGGGCGUAAAGCGCGCGUAGGCGGGUCGUUAAGUCGGGGGUGAAAUCCCGAGGCUCAACCUCGGAACUGCCUUCGAUACUGGCGACCUUGAGUCCGGGAGAGGUGAGUGGAACUCCUAGUGUAGAGGUGAAAUUCGUAGAUAUCAGGAGGAACACCAAUGGCGAAGGCAGCUCGCUGGGACGUGACUGACGCUGAGACGCGAAAGCGUGGGGAGCAAACAGG
rnacentral:rRNA from 1 species